ACUCAAAGGAAUAGACGGGGGCCCGCACAAGCAGUGGAGUAUGUGGUUUAAUUCGAUGCAACGCGAAGAACCUUACCAAGGCUUGACAUGAAGACCGAGACAUAAGAAAUUAUGUUGCCCCUUCGGGGGGGUUUUCACAGGUGGUGCAUGGUUGUCGUCAGCUCGUGUCGUGAGAUGUUAGGUUAAGUCCUGCAACGAGCGCAACCCCUGCUGCCAGUUGCCAUCACGUGAAGGUGGGCACUCUGGCGGGACUGCCGGUGACAAAUCGGAGGAAGGUGGGGACGACGUCAAAUCAUCAUGCCCCUUACGUCUUGGGCUACACACGUACUACAAUGGACACAACAAAGGGAAGCGAACCUGAGAGGGGGAGCGGAUCCGAAAAAAGUGUUCUCAGUUCGGAUUGUGGGCUGCAACUCGCCCACAUGAAGUCGGAAUUGCUAGUAAUCGCAGGUCAGCAUACUGCGGUGAAUACGUUCCCGGGCCUUGUACACACCGCCCGU
rnacentral:rRNA from 1 species